rnacentral:rRNA from 1 species
UAGGGAAUCUUCCACAAUGGACGAAAGUCUGAUGGAGCAACGCCGCGUGAGUGAAGAAGGGUUUCGGCUCGUAAAACUCUGUUGUUAAAGAAGAACGUGGGUAAGAGUAACUGUUUACCCAGUGACGGUAUUUAACCAGAAAGCCACGGCUAACUACGUCNCA